rnacentral:rRNA from 1 species
GUGAGGAAUAUUGGACAAUGGGCGCAAGCCUGAUCCAGCCAUGCCGCGUGCAGGAAGACGCAUCUAUGGUGUGUAAACUGCUUUUGUACGGGAAGAAACACUCCCUCGUGAGGGAGCUUGACGGUACCGUAAGAAUAAGGAUCGGCUAACUCCGUGCCAGCAGCCGCGGUAAUACGGAGGAUCCAAGCGUUAUCCGGAAUCAUUGGGUUUAAAGGGUCCGUAGGCGGUUUAAUAAGUCAGUGGUGAAAGCCCAUCGCUCAACGAUGGAACGGCCAUUGAUACUGUUAGACUUGAAUUACAAGGAAGUAACUAGAAUAUGUAGUGUAGCGGUGAAAUGCUCAGAUAUUACAUGGAAUACCAAUUGCGAAGGCAGGUUACUACUUGUGGAUUGACGCUGAUGGACGAAAGCGUGGGGAGCGAACAGGAUUAGAUACCCGAGUAGUCC